rnacentral:rRNA from 1 species
CCUACGGGAGGCAGCAGUGGGGGAUAUUGCACAAUGGGCGAAACCCUGAUGCAGCGACGCCGCGUGUGGGAAGACGGUCUUCUGGAUUGUAAACCACUGUCCCCAGGGACGAAAAUGACGAUACCUGGGGAGGAAGCUCCGGCUAACUACGUGCCAGCAGCCGCGGUAAUACGUAGGGAGCAAGCGUUGUCCGGAAUUACUGGGUGUAAAGGGAGCGUAGGCGGGGAUGCAAGUUGGGUGUCAAAACUACCGGCUCAACCGAUAGUCGCACUCAAAACUGGAGCUCUUGAGUGAAGUAGAGGCAGGCGGAAUUCCUAGUGUAGCGGUGAAAUGCGUAGAUAUUAGGAGGAACACCAGUGGCGAAGGCGGCCUGCUGGGCUUUUACUGACGCUGAGGCUCGAAAGUGUGGGGAGCAAACAGGAUUAGAUACCCUUGUAGUC